rnacentral:tmRNA from 1 species
GGGGAUGUACUGGUUUCGACAGGGAUGAUGAGCUUUUAUAAGCGAGCCGAGUUUCCUGACCUGGGGUACUCGUUAAAGAACUGGGUCAUUAAACACAAACGCAAACGAAAAUUUUGCAUUAGCUGCUUAAUUGCAGCGUCACCUUUAGGCCUUAUCUCAGCCGCCUAGAGCCUGACCAACCCCUGCUGAGGUCCCUUUCCCUGACACUUUUCUAGUCGUGGAAUAGCGGUACGAUAGAAAUAGCCACAUCACUUGAGCGUCGUUACUCGUGAGGUGUGGCGAACCCCUAAUUAACGACUGCGCUCGGAGAAAGUGAAAGUAAGUUGUUUUUGGACGGGGGUUCGACUCCCCCCAUCUCCACCA